GCACUGACGAGGAGUCCCACAAUAGGGCUAAACGGUCGUCCAGUGC
rnacentral:hammerhead_ribozyme from 1 species